rnacentral:rRNA from 1 species
AUGGAGGCAAUCUUAAACAUCCCUCUUAGCAGCAGGAUACAGGCGGACUUCUGGUCAUGGCAUUAUGAACGGAAAGGGAUUUUCACAGUGAGGUCAGCAUACAUAUUACUAGCCUCCACAAAGCAGCAGUGCACCGACUGGCUUGAACACAACGACGGCCAUUCCAACGUCCAAGCUGAUAGCCGGUCAUGGGCCAAGCUAUGGGGAGCAGCGGUUCCCUCCAAGGUGCGGGUCUUUGCUUGGCGAUUAGCCAAAACCUCCAUACCCACAGGGGCCGUCCGAAAGCACAGAAGUAUGGCCGAUUCCGCGGAAUGCUCUAUUUGUCAUGUGGCGGUGGACUCAUGGCGCCAUGCUUUAUUUGACUGCCAUAUGGCGCGCUGUGUUUGGGCGCUCGCCGAUGAGGAUAUCACUGAAACGAUCAUCUCCAACUGAACUGAAGAUGCUAAGCUUUGGAUGUUUUGGCUAGUAGAUACCCUACCCAUGGCGGCCCUUGCGCGUGUGCUCGUAACGAUGUGGGCAGUCUGGUGGGCUAGGCGUCGAGCUAUCCAUGACAACCAGUUUCAAAGCCCCCUCAGUACCCAUGUUUUUGUUCAAAAGUUCAUGGCGGAGCUCGACCAAAUUCCAGAGAAGGGGGCACGUACCAAAGAACUGCAUGCAUGGCUGCCACCGGCAGUCCAUGACGUCAAGAUAAACGCGGGCGGAGGCUUCUCCAAGAUUGGGGAUAAGGGCGCAUCAGCCGUUGUGUGCCGAGACAAGCAUGGUAAAUAUCUUGGCGCUUCUGCCGUCAUUUUUUAGGGUCUUUUGGAUCCGGCAAUUCUUGAGGCACAGGCAUGCAGCGAGACGCUAGCACUCGCUUUGGAUUUACCCGUUCGAUCCGUAUGUGUGACGUCAGACUGUCAAGAAGUUGUGACUAGGAUUGCAAAUGACUCCCCGUGCAGGUUCUUUCCAAUUCUACAAGAUAUCAAGCAUCAAAGGAGGUCUUUUAGUGAUGUUGAAUUUAUUUACGAGAGGAGACAUAAUGGAGAGACCCAUGCCUUAGCCAAGGCUGCUGCAUCUCUCCCUCCCGGGCGCCGUGUGUGGCUUGCUAUUUUGCCCGAAAUUAUCUGUAUUCCGCUGAUUUUGAAUGUUUAA